GCUCUAGCCUCGGGCAGCACAUAUACUAAAAUUGGAAUGAUACGGAGAAGAUUAGCAUGGCCCUGUGCAAGUUGUUAUUUUAAUGGUGAGAAAAAAAGCUGAUACAA